CGUCACUAGAAUUUCCAGCGCGAUGGCUCUUUCUGAUAGAAAAUGAUGACUAAAAUACUGACAAAUCCGCACAAAAAACGUAAUAAAUUAUCGAUAACACAACGCGAUUUAAAUGUAUUGGAACGAUGACGCAACUGUCGACGAUGGAUCGUUCCCAGUGACGUCACGUUGGGAUUUCAAGCACGAAGAAGACCCUUCCAGACAUCUGAGAAUGACGAUAGGGGUUCGCUAUUGGCGUACAGAUACCAGAAUAGCAUCGAGGAGUUUGCGGACUGACUGGAAAGUGGCUCGGAUCGAUAAACAUGCGUCUGCUCCGUCCGGCGCGCCACCGACAUAUACAUACACGCGCAUACACAAAGACACAUGUGUCCCCAAACUAGUUUUAAGGAGGCAUGCAUACACGCGGGCACGAUGCACGAUCACGAUCAGUCGCGAUGUAACCGCAGCGUGAGACGGCCUCGCACCAGGCCACCGGGUGACCGCCAUCAGAUGCUCGACGUAGGCUGAUCUCGCGCCGAAGAACCGAUCACCGGUCACCAAAACCGGCGAUCAGCGACCUGUGACACUGAAGGGGGUCCAACGGUGGGUCUUGUACUUAGGAAUCAUCGGGGGUCCGUCUGGACCACGCCUGAAGAAUCAGUGAUCCUCUACAGGAAGAGGUCAAUUACCUUUCUUUGGCACAUCGCUGGAUGAUUCAUAUUUUGAUUUUCGCCGUGAUUAGCCUACAGCAGUUCUUCAGAACAUCUAAUCAAAAGAAAAGAGAAAGAUAGUGGCUCUCACCACGGUAUAAUUACGUAAUUUACAUUAUUUGCGUCCUGAAAUACAAUUGUCGUCGUCGUCGUCGUCGUCGUCACCAUCGUCGCCGUCGCCGUCGUUGUUGUCGGCGGCGCGAGCCUUAUCAUUCUCAAAGAAGAAUGGCUACAUAUUUGCGGCAAAGAGUUUCAUACAGCCCUCAGUAGGAAGAUGAUAGAGGGCCAGGUGCAUCAACAUCCGGUACGAGUGCCGCCCGACAAGUCACAACCGUCCCAGACUGCUAAUACCGGCAUCAAGUUCGAAAAUGAGCAAUGUAAGGAGCCCUUGCUUCCGGAGAAACAGAACUCCCACAAGAUGACACCAACCGAUGGCCGUUCACGAACCACCUCCGAAUCAAAAGACACCAAUACUAAUGGACAGGCGACUACAGCGAAUUCUACUAUUAGUGGACACAACACCGAUGAUUGUUUCGAGGUGACCAUCUUCGACGAGGGCACCGAUAGCGGUCGGUUACCGGAUGUUGUUGCCGAAAGUAAAAUCUAUGGUGCGGCUGAUGAGAAUGAACCACUCGAGUCAUACUUGGCGAUUACCAUCCAGGUCUUCAUACCUUUUCUUAUUGCCGGCCUGGGCAUGGUAGGCGCCGGAUUAGUUCUCGAUCUAGUCCAACACUGGGUAGUCUUCGAAAAAGUCAACGAGCUCAUGAUUCUCGUACCAGCACUUUUAGGAUUGAAGGGUAAUUUAGAAAUGACUCUAGCAUCACGUCUUUCUACUCAAGCGAAUCUCGGACAUAUGGAUUUGCCGAAAGAGCAAUGGCAUAUGAUCGUUGGGAAUCUCGUCUUAAUACAAUGUCAAGCAAUAGUGGUGGGCUUCCUGGGUUCCGUGGUGGCGAUCGUGAUGGGUGCCUUUCGCAACGGCACGGUCUCCCUGGAUCACGCCUAUCUGCUAUGUGCCAGCAGUCUGGUCACUGCAUCCCUUGCUUCCUUUGUUUUGGGCCUUAUUACUGCGGGUGUAAUCGUCUUCUCCCGUCAUUGCCAUAUCAAUCCGGACAAUGUGGCCACGCCGAUAGCCGCCAGUCUCGGUGAUAUCACCUCCUUGGCACUUCUCUCUUGGAUUGCCACCGUAUUGUACGAAAGUAUAGAUAAACAAGACUGGGUAGCGCCCCUCGUCAUAGCUUGCUACGUCCUUGUAACACCGCUCUGGGUAUGGAUUGCCAAGAAAAAUAAAUACACUAACGACGUGCUCUAUUUUGGUUGGACGCCAGUUAUGGUGGCUAUGUUAAUCAGCAGUUGUGGCGGUCUCAUAUUGGAGUUCAUGGUGUCGCGUUUUGAAAAUCUGACGGUAUUUCAACCGGUUAUCAAUGGUGUCGGCGGGAAUCUGGUGGCCGUUCAAGCCAGCAGAAUAUCAACGGCACUUCAUAAACAAGCCGAACUUGGCACGCUUCUAAUUCCACCAGGACAUACGCAUCCUGUCAUAUUUAUUACUCCUAUCGCUAAUUUUUUCGGGAAAGGUAUGCACGCCAGAACGACGAGAGUCUUGAUGGCGAUGGUGAUACCGGGCCACAUCAUCUUCAUUUAUCUGAUUAAUUAUAUGAAAGAUGGCAAUACGUCGAUGACGCCGCUCUUUGUCUUCGUUUACCUUUGCGCGGCGAUGUUGCAGGUCGCGGCACUUCUCUAUAUCGCCUAUAUAAUGAUUCACUGGAUGUGGAAGCGAAAAAUCGAUCCCGAUAACUCGGCGAUCCCAUAUCUAACCGCGAUGGGUGAUUUGCUCGGGAUCAGUCUGCUUGCGAUUGCCUUUCAAUUUCUGUACCUGGUCGGAGAUCAAGAUUUCGACGCGCCCUGAACGUAGUAAGACUAAUUUUUGUGUGGCUAUGAAUGCAGUUAACAACGAUCAUGGAAGUCAUAAAUUGUAUAAUGUUUUCCGGCGGGCACAAAUUAGAACUGUCGGAUCGAAAGGGCAUUCCUACGAGGCUGUGGUCGUCUGAAAGUAUAUUCCACCGAACGCUAUCUUCGAUUUGCCAGUCCGCCGAUGAGUUUUCAGAAGAAUGGACGGUCGCAAUAUUUAUUGACAAAAUAUUAACAAUUCGUCACUUUUUUAUCUUGCCUUUUGUCAAAAAAUUGAGAUUAAUCACCAAAUAUAUGAAGAUUCCCUCUUCAUAUUUUGCGAAAACUUAUUCAUCGAAUUAUUUUCGACAGAAUCUUGUCCGAUAUCUUAAAAUAUUUGAUAACUAAUAAAUAUUCUAUAUAUGUAAAAUAAAAAUAACGGAUUGUUAAUAUCUUGUCAAACCGAGCGGACAUACUCAGGUUUUAAUUAGGUACUAAUAUAUCAGAAGAUAACAAAGGUUGGUAUGCCAGAUUAUAGCUACUAAUAUAUUAAAAAAUAACACGAGAUAGAUAGUGGCAAAUUAAUUCGUCGAAUAUAAAAAUUGAAAAACGAUUGAAUUUUUGCAAAUAACGUUAUCUUCAAAGUUUAAGCCUAAAAUUCAAGAAUUAAUUUUUUCAAAAAUG